rnacentral:rRNA from 1 species
UACAGAGGUCUCAAGCGUUGUUCGGAUUCAUUGGGCGUAAAGGGUGCGUAGGCGGCGCGGUAAGUCGGGGUGUGAAAUCUUGGAGCUUAACUCCGAAACUGCAUUCGAUACUGCCGUGCUUGAGGACUGGAGAGGAGACUGGAAUUUACGGUGUAGCGGUGAAAUGCGUAGAUAUCGUAAGGAAGACCAGUGGCGAAGGCGGGUCUCGUGGACAGUUCCUGACGCUGAGGCAC